AUACGGAGGGUGCAAGCGUUGUUCGGAAUCACUGGGCGUAAAGGGCGCGCAGGCGGUUUGGUAAGUCAGAUGUGAAAGUCCACGGCUCAACCGUGGAAGUGCAUUUGAAACUGCCAGACUUGAGUACCAGAGGGGAAAGUGGAAUUCCCGGUGUAGAGGUGAAAUUCGUAGAUAUCGGGAGGAAUACCGGUGGCGAAGGCGACUUUCUGGCUGGAUACUGACGCUGAGGCGCGAAAGCGUGGGGAGCAAACAGGAUUAGAUACCCUAGUAGUCC
rnacentral:rRNA from 1 species